CACGUAGGGUGCGAGCGUUGUCCGGAAUUAUUGGGCGUAAAGAGCUCGUAGGCGGUGUGUCGCGUCGGCCGUGAAAACCUGCAGCUUAACUGUGGGCGUGCGGUCGAUACGGGCAUCACUGGAGUUCGGCAGGGGAGACUGGAAUUCCUGGUGUAGCGGUGAAAUGCGUAGAUAUCGGGAGGAACAUCAGUGGCGAAGGCGGCCUUCUGGUCCAGUACUGACACUCAAGUGCGAAAGCGUGGGGAGCAAACAGG
rnacentral:rRNA from 1 species